GGAUACAGAUGAAACCUGAUGUGCAGAUUUAUUUUAUGGAUCCAGGUGAAAUACUGAGGAAAAAAUUGAAAGAAAUUCUGCAGGUUUUUGAAUUUCAAAAGAAUCAUAGAGCAAGAUUAAUGACUUACCAGAAAAAGCAGUUAUUAAAGUAUAAGCAGAUGAAGGAGGAUUUCAGAAGACUUUUAAAAAAUUUAAAAGAUUUAGACAAGUUA